UUCCUCGGUGACCAGGGACCGCUCGCUCGCCCCCUCUCUCAUGGCUUAGCCGGCGUUGCACAUGCCCCCGCUGAUUCUUGUUGUUCCCCCCCUCGAAACAUAUGUUCGCAGAUUGAUUGCUGUAUAUUCGUACCAUGGCUGAUGAUUCCUUCUCCUUUUUCCCCUUUGGUUUGAUCGUUCCUGUGAUCCCUUCCAGGCGUCACACCACUGACGACCAUGCCGCCAGCAUGGAUGGCAUCCGUCUCUCGGCCAUCGUUGCAGGUGCGGGCUUCUCGCUCAAAUGUGAUUAACGUGAUGAUUUCCAUCUCCAUGAUUUAAUGCCGCGUGCACCUAGCAAUGUUAGCUCUUAGUUUCUCCUAAUGCGUUACCUCCCAACUCACAUAGCCGGGCAAGCCGCUAGAUGCCUGACUUUCUGAUCUUGACCCAUAUGCCUUUGGGGCGGUGCGCAAUACACUACGGAGCAUGUGGGGAAGAACUGCAGCAUCUAGGAGUUGUUUCAUUACUCAUGGGGACGUGUAUACAUUUCAAUUGGAAGUUCGACGGAGCAGGGUACCCUAUGAUGCAAGAGGAUGACUGUAAAAACAUUCUAUAUCAAAUUAAGUCUUUGGAUCAGGACUAAUCUAUAGCCCAAGGAAGAACUUGAAUUCCAAGGUGAGACGCACCAUGUAUGCUUCCUCCUCGAAUUUAUUUCUUGUUUUUUUCUUGGGGAAUUUCAAUGGGGCAGACACGAUUAAUAACUCUUAUUCAAAUGUGGACGUAUGGUAGUUGAUAUGCUUGACGGCGCCGCUCUGCUGGUCGGGGUCUAUAGUUAUUUAACAGCUUAUUAUGAAUCAUUAGAACUAUAGUAUUUUACCUUGAUGUUGUCGGUUCUACCUUCUAUUAACUAGCCCAGAGGUAGAUUUUGUGUCAGUAUUAUUUAGUUGUUGGUGUUCAGUAUUUUGUUUGGUAGUGGCAGUGCAAAGUUCGUCAUCUUUUUUGUUUGGCAGUACAAAAUAGUGACAUCUUGAUGUUGAUGCAAGAUUGUUUUCAGCUAGACCUCUUUGAUUUGUCAUCAUUAUUCUAGGAAUCGAAGAUGAUAUUUUAUACAUUUCAAUUGCAUAUGCAAUGCAUCAAAUUUCAUAGAAACUAGAGAUAAUUUGCCCCUAUCGGUUUGUGUAUUGUUUUUUCAGUUAUAAGUUGGCUAGCCUAUGUUGCAACAGAAAAAAUGCUGACAAAUACACUGAUAUCCAGGGGAAGGUAGGAUCUUAACGGAAUUAUGUUCAUAUAUAAAAUGGACUAUUCCCAGUAAUACAUUUAAUAAUUCCGCAGGAGUAGAUAUUGUGUGAAGGAAAUAAGUUCCUAAGAAGGAAAGUAAAUCCCCUUGUGUUAUUCUCCUCAGGAAGAUAUAAGCUUAACUAUGGCAAUUUUUGCACACACCUGUCUGAACUUAGAUACUGCAGAGAGCAUGCAAUCUGGUUCUCUUUUUUUAAAAAGUUAAAGCCAUGUACUUGCUUAUGAAUGUUCCUGUUGUUUCAAACCCAUAAACUUAAUAUUGUGCUUUCAGGUUUAGGAUUCCCACUGAGUAAAAGUCAAUCCUACUUAAUGUUGCAAUAUAUGUUCAACAUUAAGGAAAAUGCAUUUUGUUUGAUCUAUGUAUGCUGUUUGAUUAGCACCUGAAAUCUUGUUAAAGCAUAUCCAUUUCCUUGCCAUUUUUUCAGACUGUCGCUCACGUUUCACAUUGCUUUCUUUAGUUAGCUCAAAUAGGAAAAAAUUCACAUUCUAAUAUUACAAUAUAUCUUAACUUCCUGUCACACAUGGAAAUCUUUCCUCCAUAGAUAACUUGGUUUGAUGCAAUACGUUCUUACACUAAUCGUCUAAUAUAUCUUGCUAUGGAUUGGAGAAUGGCGAGCCCAGCAAUACCAGAAACGCCAUGGUGUUAGAGUAUAAGCAGGGGCGUAUAGGUGAUGUAGGCAUAUGGAUGUAGGAUCACCGUCCACAGGUGACGUAGGUGGCGAUGAUGACCAACUUAGCCAGGUACUUGAGCAAACUUUCCCAUAAACAUGUACUCUCCCGACUUCAAUCAAUCCGACUCAGUCUUGAGAGAGUACACAUAAUGUAGGUCGGUUGUUGAGAGCAGCAUGUUCGUACAUGAGGAAUUUGAUUUAUCGGCUUCAGGUUUUGUACGUACAGUAUGUGCUAAGAAUUUUUAUGGGUAAGGUAAUCAAUCUUAGGAGAGAAAGGAUUGUUGGCAUUUUUAUGGGUAAUCAAUCUUAUGGGAAAGAACUGAUUUUUGUCUCUACUGAACAGUAGCACUCUUAACCUAUUUGAACAGAAAAUUUCAUGAACAUAAAAGCAGUAGUGACUUGACCAUGCAAUAAGCUAAAUUGUUAUUAUGGUUUUUGUUGUAACAAGUUGAAGUUAUUCAAAUGAAAAGUUGAAGUUUCUGUUAGCAGCAUCAACUUCUUUUGAGAUGUCAGAAAAAACUUCAGUUCAAGAUGUAGGAACAAUCAGCCAGCUUAACUGUCAGCCUAAAACUAUUCUCUGUUGCAGUUCAGUUAUGUCAAGCUAUUAUAAUUCCCUCAGCAUGUGCAUUCAAGCAUUCCACUAAUUUGCACAUUGAAUUGCAAAUGUAAUUAAAUGAGGUAGGGUAUGGAGGGUGCUUGUCAGGGAGGCGUGCAUCCGCUUCUUUGGGUGGGAUGCCAACUAUAGCAGCUUUGGGACGAUGCCCUUGGUGGUGAGGUGUGCAUGCACCGCUUGGUAAUGAGUCGCCAACAACAUUGGGCAGGGGCUUUAGGUUUGGCGUCUGCACUACACUGCCGCGGUGGUGACGAUGUUGAGUGCCUCAAUGGUGUGUGUGCGCGUGUGUGUGGAUGACAUUCCAGUUGAAAACGUACUAAUUCAUGAUGUACCGGCUGAGAUUAUCUACACUCCAACUCAGGUCAUCUUAAAAAAAGACUACAUUCCCAAAGCCAAUUAUGUAGUAAAAAACACUCAGAAGCUUUUGAUUUUGUUUACUCUGCUCUUCUUGCAUAAUUUAAGUUUUGGACCCAAUUCCUGAGCAAAGAAUGCUAGCUGCCAAAUGGCUUUGAGAGAUAUGUAGUAGAGUAUAUUGAUUGAUGUUUUGAGAGAAGGAGGCUAUAUAAUUUAAUCACAAUGGACAAGCUCAUUUUACUUUUACUAUGGCAUAUGCUUAUGCUUGAUUUUUUAUUGCCAGAUGAGAAAGCACGAUAAGAAUCUGGGUGAUUUUUUGAAGGUUCAUGUGUCAGACAUGCCUCUUUUCAAUUUUUCUGACAAAAAGUAAGCUACUUAUUUGGAUUUAAUCUCAGAGAUGUACCUUCUUAUCA